GUUAAAUUAAGGACUUUCCGUUUCACUAUUUCCUCGGGGUCGUUUUUUUGUUUGUUUUUUUUAAUUUUUAUUAGCACUUUCUUGAAUCUUUUGAUUAACUCAUUUAUUAGAUAAUUGUUUUCUUGCUAAAUUUUAAUAAUUUUAAUAUACAUUUUUGUCUCCUUUUUACCCCCUUUUCUCCUUUCUCCCGCCCCCUCUCUCCCUU
rnacentral:lncRNA from 1 species